rnacentral:misc_RNA from 1 species
GAUGAAGAACGCAGUGAAAUGCGAUAAGUAAUGUGAAUUGCAGAAUUCAGUGAAUCAUCGAAUCUUUGAACGCACAUUGCGCCCCUUGGUAUUCCGGGGGGCAUGCCUGUUCGAGCGUCAUUUCAACCCUCAAGCUUAGCUUGGUAUUGAGUCUAUGUCAGUAAUGGCAGGCUCUAAAAUCAGUGGCGGCGCCGCUGGGUCCUGAACGUAGUAAUAUCUCUCGUUACAGGUUCUCGGUGUGCUUCUGCCAAAACCCAAAUUUUUCUAUGGUUGACCUCGGAUCAGGUAGGGAUACCCGCUGAACUUAAGCAUAUCAAUAAGCGGAGGA